rnacentral:rRNA from 1 species
ACUCCGGAUCUGCGGUGGGUACGGGCAGACUAGAGUGAUGUAGGGGAGACUGGAAUUCCUGGUGUAGCGGUGAAAUGCGCAGAUAUCAGGAGGAACACCGAUGGCGAAGGCAGGUCUCUGGGCAUUAACUGACGCUGAGGAGCGAAAGCAUGGGGAGCGAACAGGAUUAGAUACCCUGGUAGUCCAUGCCGUAAACGUUGGGCACUAGGUGUGGGGGACAUUCCACGUUUUCCGCGCCGUAGCUAACGCAUUAAGUGCCCCGCCUGGGGAGUACGGCCGCAAGGCUAAAACUCAAAGGAAUUGACGGGGGCCCGCACAAGCGGCGGAGCAUGCGGAUUAAUUCGAUGCAACGCGAAGAACCUUACCAAGGCUUGACAUGAACCGGUAAGACCUGGAAACAGGUCCCCCGCUUGCGGUCGGUUUACAGGUGGUGCAUGGUUGUCGUCAGCUCGUGUCGUGAGAUGUUGGGUUAAGUCCCGCAACGAGCGCAACCCUCGUUCUAUGUUGCCAGCACGUGAUGGUGGGGACUCAUAGGAGACUGCCGGGGUCAACUCGGAGGAAGGUGGGGACGACGUCAAAUCAUCAUGCCCCUUAUGUCUUGGGCUUCACGCAUGCUACAAUGGCCGGUACAAAGGGUUGCGAUACUGUGAGGUGGAGCUAAUCCCAAAAAGCCGGUCUCAGUUCGGAUUGGGGUCUGCAACUCGACCCCAUGAAGUCGGAGUCGCUAGUAAUCGCAGAUCAGCAACGCUGCGGUGAAUACGUUCCCGGGCCUUGUACACACCGCCCGUCAAGUCACGAAAGUUGGUAACACCCGAAGCCGGUGGCCUAACCCCUUGUUGGAGGGAGCU